AUUCUGUGAUGAGGUCACUUUCGUAAUAACUCUUUGAAUCUUUCCCAUGCCUCAUACAAGGACUCAUCAUCCAUUUGUUGGAAAGCAGUAAUCUCAUUUCUCAGCUU
rnacentral:snoRNA from 1 species